GGCCACAUCACGUUAAAACACUGGUUCUCGUACGAUUGCCAAAGUUAAGCAAUGUAGAGCCUUGUCAGUACCUAGAUUGGUGACCGCUUAGGAAUACAAGGUGCU